AUUAACCUGGCAUGGAGAUAUAGCUGAUAGUUUUUUGUUUUUUUUUUUGGUACCAGGGAUCGAACUCAGGUCCUUGAGCUUGCGAGGCAGGUGCUGGAACCACUGAGCUAAAUCCCCGGCCCCUAACUGAUAUUCUAUAGGAGGAAAUGGAAGUCAGGCAAAGUAUACAUUUUUUGACUCUUUCAGACAAGCCAGAGUUCUGAUUUCACAAAAGAUAAAUGGAGAGUGUCUGAAGGCAAAAGCAAGUGCCACAGUCCAGAAUUUGAGAAGAAUUCAAAUUGGUGUGGACUUUCUUGUACUCCUUUUCUCCUUCAGCUAUAUCUGGAGUUGGGGCUGGAAGAUCAAGGAAAACAAGGGGAAAUGGUUGCUGAGAUCUGUUGAGAGAGAUUCAUCCUCUGUGUAGACCUGGUAACAGUUCUGAUAUCAGAGAGAGGAACUCUUUCUCAGACCCAUUAAGGAGGCCCAGCUCCUAAGUUUCUGAGUGGCUUUUGCUUUAUUGAAAGAUUGAAAGAAUUUCUAAAGAACAAAAUUAAAAAGGAUGAAAAAUCUGGGUGACUGCUCCUACCCUUUCCUCCGAGUGCCUUGCACGGCCAUUGAGCUGACAUCCAGCUGCCAGCACCUGUGUUUCUUCGCAGAGAGGUCUCAGUCCCAUGGGUUUCACCCUGUCUCACUAACCAGGCUGGAGGUGCUGCGAUGAACACCUCCAGUGCUGGUCCCCCACCAGCACCCUACGGGAGGUGGCACAGGAGCACCCACCUCUCACUGUGCAGGUGGAAGAGCACAGAGGCACAUUUCCCUCCAAAAUAUCUGUGCUACUUUACUCAUUGUUAUAUACAUGUAAUUUAUUGUAAGGCAAACACUAUUAAUACAAAAAUGUAUGAAUGAAAUAGAAUUGAAUAAUUUAAAAGAUAUGUUAAUGCAGAGAGUAAAGAGCAGCACCAAAAUAAUUUUGUUUGAGUAGUGUUUCAAAUUACCAGGUAAUGCUAAAGGUGUUUCUUGGUCUUGGGAAAGAACUUCAACCCACUUUUAAUGCUUCAUAUGUACUAUCUAAAGUUUAAGUUGAAAAUUGUUAAGUAAAAUUUGUAUGAUUAAAACAUUAAUGGAUCAUAUAUAUAUUUUGUGUAUCAUGUGUAUAUGUAUUUUAUAAUUAUAUAGAUAUAUGUUAAAUCCUUUGUUAAUGUGUUGAAUCAGAAAAGAAUGUCCAGUACUGUACUACGGUUGGAAUUAAAAUAAGCUAAAGUUAUCUAUUACCUAGGCUUUUUUCUUACUGAAGGAUAACCAAGAGUAACAAAUGAUGAGUACAGUUCUCGAGCUUCUCUCACUGAUACAAAGUGCACACAUCUUAUUAUUUAAUUAAGGUGAGUACUUUUUCAUAAAUACAUUCUUCAUUAAAGGCAAUAUUUUAUUAACAUUAUAAUGCUUAUAGAGCAUCUUAAUCGGUUUAAAAAUAUUCCACACAAGUUGCUCAAUGCUCUAAUGAAUCAUAUUCAAGUUGCUUAAGCAUUUAGGCUUGUAAGACUUUGAUGUGUAAUCAUGGCACAUAUCUUGGAUAUUCUUCAGUGCACUGAAUUUUAUUGUAUUUAAAGCAUUUAGUUUAGUUUAUGAGGUAAUAUAUGAUAAACACCUCAUGAUUUGUAUGACUAAAAUUUUGGCUAAAUUGGUUUUAACAACUGUCUAAUACACAUCAUAAUAAGAAUCCAUGUGUUUCUAAUUUCAACCUGGCUCAGAGAGGAGAGAAGAGUAUCUUCUGAAAUAGUUUACAAUAGUGGAAAACUAAUAGUGAAAAUACAAUUUACAGUAGUGGCACCCAGAAAGCAAGGUAAAUAAUAAUUGGGCUUGGUGGAAGAUUAUUUCAUUCUUUGAAUUAUUACUGGAUUUUAGAUACAAAAUAAGAUGGCUAUUUAAAGGUUUUAAGUCUUUGAAUAGAAUAUUAUUUAGCUUCAUCUGUUUAAAACAAUUUGUCAGAUAA
rnacentral:lncRNA from 1 species